CCCGCUGGCUGAUGUCAUCGUAUUUCCUCAAGAGGCCAAGACAUGAGAUGAGAAGACGUCGCGGCCCGCUGCGGCCUGCCUAUCCUCCUGAUGUCAUCUUUCCCUCCCAAGACAUGAGAGAGAAGACGUACUACCCUUCCCUUCCUCGUUCUCGAUUCCGCCGUGGAGAGCUUCUCUCUGCCUAGAGUGACCUGACCUCCUUUUUGCUGCAUUAUGAGUCAUUUAUUUCACAAUGUUAGAAUGGACGCAGCUACCUGUAUCUCGACAAGGUAAAAAUGUAUCAUCGAUCUAAGCCCUUGUUGACCUUUGAGGACCGAUUAUUGGCUGCAGUUUUCACUCACUUGCAAAAUUAUGUAUAAAGUAAACAUUUCAUUUCUUAUCUCUUUGAGUCCUCCACUUUUCUCCAGAUCCGUUUUGACAAAAAAAUCACCAUAUAUUAUUGCCUGUUGUAGAAGACUUUCUUUUCGUGCACCCGCAGUACUAGAACUCCCUGGUGAGGAACUUCGCCUUGACUGAACACAACUACUGUAAUUUCGUUGCUCUUGGGUAAUGAAAUUUUGAGUUCACCCGAGUUGGAAGAAAACUAUUAUUGCUUGUUAGUGGAGCAAAAAUCUUUGAUGAAAUAUCUGAAAGUUUUUUUUUAGCAUUAGUCAAUGGCACACUUGCGUGUUUGAAGUGCAUGGAUAUCAUAUAAGAGAUUUUAGGUACACAAAUUGCUGCCCUUGUAGCUUUCAUUCAGCAAUUAAGAGGCCUCAAAUAUUGCUUUGGUCGGAUAACAUACAUGUAUUCCUUCUUUAGCAUAGAAUCAUUGGAUUAGCACCAUAUGUUGGCAUGUCCUCACCAUAUGUUGGCAUGUCCUACAAGCAUCAACUAGGUUCCACUAUGGCAUUUGGCAUCGCUCGAAUUGAUAGACCUUAACUUCAAUGUUUGUUAUCAGGGCUCUUCUUUGGCGAUAUUGCCUCUAGAUGGAGAUGUUGAUGUUGUAAAUCAAUUGAUUCCAAGAUGGCCAAGAGUCGGAUUGCCAUUGUAAUUUUAUCACUACGAGUGGCCAUUUGCGUCGCCCCUCCAAUGCAACCCAUUAAGUGGGGAAAGUUUUCCCCAUUCGUUUCCCCCCAAAAAACUAUUUGUUAUAAGGUUCAGAACAGUGAAAACAAUGUGUUGCUCCAAAAGUAUACGCGCUUUCUGUUACAUCUAGCUGUUUUAUUUAGCAAGCAACAACAUUUUAUUUAUUUUUUUCUUUUUCUUUGUGCAAUUUCACUUCUGAUAUGGGAAACGGAAAAAAUGCCCUAGUUUUGAACUCAGGGAACACAUCUGGAUGAUAAGGUUUUCUCAUGAUGAAAGCAGAAGACACAUCACUGUGCUCUUCCAUGAUAAUAUACAUUCUCUAUAUUUGACCAUGUUAUCUUUGGUUCUUCUGAAUCUCAGACACAUACUUUGGCAUACGCUUCUUAUCAUUGGUAUACUUUGGCAUACGCUUCUUAGCCACUUCUAUUAUGCAUCGCUAUAGCUGAUAGUAACUCCUGACUGAUUAAGGUUAUCAUACAUGUUUUUGAAAUUGUGCAUGCAGUAGCUUUCUUUCUUUUUUUUUAUUUCAGUGAAUUGACCUGUGGAAUUACUCUCUUUAUUUCUGCAAUUUGGAUAGUAUUGGAACUCUAUUAAUAUGUACAGAUGGGCCCUUUGUUAAUGCAAAUACUAAUUACUGAGCAACCAAAAUACAAUACUAACAGAGGACAAUACUAACAGAGGGUUUAAUUGCUCCCCUCAUUAGCUGUUAAGGUGUAUUAUUACUGAAUCUAUCAGACCAAAACCAUUCGUGGCAUGCUUACGAGCUUGAAGGAACAUAUAAACAUGCUACUCUUUUGUAUUGUUAACUUCAUAUUAUACAUGGUUUUUAAGGCGGAAAGGCGAGGUGCAGCGAGCCACCCCUUCCGAACGCCUAGGUGAAUAAGGCGCGCGGCGAGGCGACGCCAUACACAUACCCUCAUCUAGAAUAGAUGCAGCACAAACAAACUCAUAGAGGCAGUAGACACAAGCAUCAGGCAGCACCCUCAUCUAAAAUAGAGGCAGCACAAACAUGCACAUAGAGGCAGCGGACCCACGCAUCGGCAGCAGACAAGCACACACGAACACACCACAAAAGCCAAGCAAAAGACAACACCUAGAGCAGAGCAGAGCAUCAACUCCACACACAAGUGAAUGUGCUGCACAAGCAGCCUUGCACUCAAGCAUAAGCAAAAGCAACUGAGCAGAGGGAAGGAAUGGGAGAGGAAGAGGUACCGGUGUCCCUGUGAUGCAGCUCAAGGAAGGGGUGCCGGCAGGAAGGUGGAGGUGGGCACAUCGGAGAAGAACCAGGAGCUCUUGGGUGCAAGAGUGGAGGGAGUCCGCCCGGAUUUGUUGGAGAAGAGGAAGAAGAUGCAGAUCGAUUGGAGGAGAAGGGGCUGGAGCCACGGGAUUGGAGGAGAAGCGGUAGAUCGAGCAGCGCGUCACCACCGAGGAUUCCAGGUGCUGUUGGCCUGCCGCCCUCUCUCUUUGAGUUUGCGCCCUCGUCAGAGACGUCGCGGCGGGAACUUGAGGUGCGCAGGUCCCCCGUGCAACUGCCCCCGAUUCCCCCCGUGCGCCCCUCGUUUUUACCCACGCGUCUCGCCAAAUCGCCGUGCAGCACUCGCCUAGCGAUGACUCCAGACGCCAUAGGCAUGGGGGGCCUGGCGCUCGGGACACCCAGAAUCGAUUUCCGCCUGGACGACUUGGCGAUGCCUUAAAAACCAUGAUAUUAUAUUAUUCCGAAAUUAUGUACAUUGCAGUUACACACUAGUUCAUUGACCCAGAUGCUGAAAAACAUCUCCCUACUUCUUAAAGUGUGCUAAUGACACUGACAAGCAACAUUAUAGAGGAAUUUCUAGAAAUUUAGAAGGAUAGAAGGCAAAAGAUGUUUGGUACUAAACUGAAACAACUUAAGAAGGCAAAUUGAAGUCAAUGAUUAAAUUAAGUUAGAAGUAUAACUGCAGUUUGUUGCCAACAUACAGCCAUUAAGCACUACUUGGUGCACAUGCAGCUUUUGUGAUUUCAGAUUAGAAUGGACACAUCACUCUCUGGCGCACAUCUUCACUGUGCUGUUGGAAAAUAUGAGGAAGAGUGUUUAGUAGGCCAGGUGCGUGGAGACAAAAGGGGAGGAUCCUUGUGUCCCUAUGGGAGCAUCAGGUUUGAGAGGACAGAAGAGGAAGAUCUGUGUGCCCCUAUAGGAGAUGGGGAUGAGGAAACCCAGCGGCUCCACAACCAUCCUUCCUACUUGCCCACGUCCACAAAUGUUGCCCUUAUAUGAAGCCCUACUCAGCUGGCAA